GGACGAUUAGCUCAGUUGGUUAGAGCGCUACAUUGACAUUGUAGAGGUCAGAGGUUCGAAUCCUCUAUCGUCCA
rnacentral:tRNA from 1 species